rnacentral:lncRNA from 1 species
CAUUGCUAAAAAUUGAGAUCAGGGCCCACCAAGGGGGACUAAGGAGGGAUUAAGAUUAUGACCUCCUGUAAGGCUUGGGUCAACCAUUAAUUCUGUGAGGAAGCCUCCAUGCCCUGAGUGGAUGCGUUGAGUCUGUCUCCUCUGUGGUCCUGGCACACACAGUAAGUGCUUUGCCCUAUCAGAGUAGUUGUCCUCAGAUGUCACUGCCCAGUACUCAUCUGCUCUCUCCACUCCGGUCUUUGACUAUGAACACCUUGAAGUUACACACAAAAUAAUGAUGGGUCUUAUAACUGAUGAAAUACUAAUUGGGAAUAUGGUACUUAUAGAGACAGAAGAAAUACAAUCAAUGAACAGUCUUAAUUGGAAAAACUAAGGUAACUUCAUAGACUUCUCACUUUCCAUUUGUAGAGAGAGUUCUACUGGUAAAUGAGGAACCACCAGUAUUUGGUCAUAUUUUUGAAAUUGUGUAGAUUUUAUUAAAUAUUUCUUAUUCCUCCAAUACGUGUGUGUGUGUGUGUGUGUGGUGUGUAUAUACACACAGAUAUAUAUAUAUACACACACACACACACACAUAUACUAAGUGUAUGUGUGUGUAUGUAUGCAUUCUAUUUCCUUCAAAUUUCCCUUAUAUCGAGUACUUUUAUCAGAGAAGUAAUCCAUGCAUUUAAUUUGGUGCCAACUUCUUAUUUUUGUGUGGUAAUCACCAAAGAAAAAUAAAAGCUGGCAUUAGAUUAAAUGCAUAGAUUACUUCUCUGAAUGAUAAAACUGCCUAAAGAAAUAGAAUCUGCUCAUAAACAUCUUUUCAUAUUCCAUUCCACAGAAAUUUCUGACCUUACCUGUCUAUAUUACCUAUUCCUAUAAGGUAACUUUAUUAUCUACUCAAUUUGUUUUGUCUUCCUGUUGUCUCUUCUCGUGUGUGCUGAUGAAAGAUGAAUUUCUCCACUGUGAAACAGAACAGUCAAGCAAUUCCAGUGGGGUUACUUAUAGAUGAGAUAAUUUCUGCAAUUUCAGAGUUCUGUGGCAAUACAUAGCUCCCUUGUGCCAAAUCAAUUCUUCAGUAACAUGAUUAAUUAACCCAUAAGAACAGAAGUUUGCUGCUGCUCUGAAAUGCACUAACCUUGUAUUUUGGUUUCAGGCUUUAUCUACCCUUCUAUACCAAAAUCAUUCUGUGGUAUUUCUUCAGAACCUUGGGCAAAUCAACAAUGUGUUGAGUACCCUUAUCUGAGAUGCUUGGACCAGAAGUAUUUUGGAUUUUGGAAUACUUGCAUAUACAUAAUGAGGUACCUUAGGAAUGGGACCCAAGACUACAACAUACAAUUCAUUUGUUUCAUAAGCACCUUUUACAC